rnacentral:rRNA from 1 species
AUUGAACGCUGGCGGCAGGCCUAACACAUGCAAGUCGAGCGGAGCGGCGGACGGGUGAGGAAUGCCUAGGAGUCUGUCUGGUAGUGGGUGCUAUCGUCAGGAAACGGGCGCUAAUACCGAAUACUUUCAGAUGAGCCUAGGUCGGAUUGGCUAGUUGGUGGGGUAAAGGCCUACGAAGGCGUCGAUCCGUAACUGGUCUGUGAGGAUGAUCAGUCACACUGGAACUGAGCGACUGUGCUGCCUCCUACGGUAGGAAGCAGUGGGGAAUAUUGGAAGAUGGGCGAAAGCCUGAUACAGCCAUGCGGCGUGUGUGAAGAAGGUCUUCGGAUUGUAAAGCUCUAUAAGUUGGUAGGCGUUACCAACAGAAUAAGCACCGGCUAACUACGUGCCAGCAGCCGCGGUAAUUC